GGGGAAAAAUGCAUGAGACAAAAGUUUAUGCAGGUGAUGUAGGAACAUGGUUAGGAGAAUGAUCAUUUACUGAAAACGAAGAAACCCUACUGUAAUUCAUGUAUUAGGAGAAAAAUAAUGUUAGCGAAUGGUAAUGUUAAAAAAACCCAAAGAUGAAUGUAUCAUAAGAAAAAGGACAAUAUUUAGCUGAUUACGAGGUGCCAGAAUGAAAGAGUAAAUCCCGAAAGAAUGAAUUUCUUAUUCCUGUUCUUGUAAAAGAUGAGCAAGGUAUCCAGUUUAACUGAGGAAGUUUGACUUAAUUACGAUAAAAACUGGAUACUUGCACAACAAGGUAGAAACAGAAAAAGAGAGAGAAUCAUGCUCUGCACUUGAGCGCCUGAAAAAGUAUUGAGGAGACUUGAAAUAGGGACAUGGAAAAAAGUGAAAC
rnacentral:lncRNA from 1 species